GCCGCGGUGGUGGAAUUGGUAGACACGCUAGCCUUAGGAGCUAGUAUCUUUUUGAUGUGAGAGUUCGAGUCUCUCCCGCGGUA
rnacentral:tRNA from 1 species